GUUACAGCAGCACAUAUACUAAAAUUGGACCGAUACGGAGAAGAUUAGCACGGCCCCUGCGCAAAGGAUGAUAUACAAAUUUGUGAAGUGUUCCGUAUUUUA